rnacentral:rRNA from 1 species
GAUGAACGCUGGCGGCGUGCCUAAUACAUGCAAGUCGAGCGAACGGACGCGACGCUUGCUUCUCUGAUGUUAGCGGCGGACGUGUGUGUAACACGUGGAUACCCUCCCUAUAAGACUGGUAUCACUUCGGGAAACCGGCGCUAAUACCGUAUAAUCUUUUGAACCGCAUGGUUCAAAAGUGAAAGACGGUCUUGCUGUCACUUAUCGCUGCAUCCGCGCUGCAUUAGCUAGUUGUUAAGGUAACGGCUUACCAAGGCAACGAUGCAUAGCCGAACUGAGAGGGUGAUCGGCGACAUUGGAACUGAGACACGGUCAAGAGGACUGAGGGAGGCAGCAGUAGGGAAUGUGCGGCAAUGGGCGAAAGCCUGACGGAGCAAGGCCGAGUGAGUGAUGAAGGUCUUGGGAGCGUAAAAAUCGGUUAUUAGGGAAGAACAGAUGUGUAAGGAACUGUGCACAUCGUGACGGUACCGAAUCAGAAAGCAACGGCUAACUACGUG